AUACAGAGGUGGCAAGCGUUGUUCGGAUUUAUUGGGCGUAAAGGGUUCGUAGGCGGACCGAAAAGUCGGAUGUGAAAUCCCACAGCUUAACUGUGGAACUGCAUUCGAAACUCUCGGACUAGAGGGUGAGAGGGGUAGAGGGAAUUCCCGGUGUAAGGGUGAAAUCUGCAGAGAUCGGGAAGAACACCAGUCGCGAAGGCGCUCUACUGGCUCAUUUCUGACGCUGAGGGACGAAAGCUAGGGUAGCAAACGGGAUUAGAAACCCCGGUAGUCC
rnacentral:rRNA from 1 species